rnacentral:lncRNA from 1 species
CUCUAACUCAGAUUCCAUUUUUUAAUAUUCAGAAGAAAACCACUAUUGCUCACAGAUGUUUCUCAAUCUGUAGCUUUUCUAUUUUAUCUUUUUAAAGCAUUUAAAAUGAUAGAUAGAUAAAUAAAUGAUAGAGAAAUAAAGAGGCACUUGUUGGCUUGUCAGUUAGCCUCACCAGUCUCUCUUCUUGUCAACACCAGCUGAAAUAGCCAAAUGAUUUUUUUUUUCAGUGACUUCAAACCAUUGAACUUCCAUGGCUCAUUUCCUUACCCUCCUCCACUCCUGUAUGGCAAUCAGGUUUUUGAUGGUUUAAAUACUCAAUCCUGAUAGAAACAUCCAGAGAAGGCAAAGGGUCCUUUGAGGCUCCUGUGCACAAGCCAACUGCUGUCAGCAGUGGUUCUCCCAGUCUUUCAUUCUAGGUAUAAAAGGACUCAGAGUGGAUCGUCCUUGAGAAGAUUCAGAAAGAAGUGUCUGUUGAGGACUAGGACAACAAAGAAAGAAAAGUUACAUUGUCCAAGCCCCAGAGAAAAAUACACAAAUGCCUUUCUUCUUAUAUUUUGGACUCCGAUGUAUGUGUGAGAGAAUUGAAUUCAGUCUUACAAGGAAGUCAAAACAAGAUUUUAAUCCAAGUAUCCCACCCACAAUAAUGUCAUCCAUUUUCACCGCCAAUGGCCUAGGUCAAUGAUGGCGGACCUUUUAGAGCUUUCAAUGAUACAAGCAGCCUGCUGUGACACACAUACCAUAGGUUUGCUACCAUUGCCUUAGGUCCAGGUCCUUGGCAUUUUCACUUGGAAAACUAACUGCAAAAGCAUUGAAACUGGUUUCUUUGUUACAAGUUUCUUUUGCCCCUGGCCCAUCUGCCUUCCAUACUGUUAAACUGACUGGGAACAGUGUAAGUUUACUAGAAUAGAAAUGAGUUCUGAUCGUUUCUAUGCUUAAAAUUCUUCUAUAGCUUCCAUGACCAUUGCGACAAACUUCAGAUUUGUUAGGCUAGAACUUGAGGUCCCUCCCUUGCUGUCUGGGCUCUCUCUGCACCUCUAGAAGAAUGCUGUGCCCCGUCAAGUCAAUCAAUGUACAAUUCUCC